GGGGUUGCAGCUCAAUGGAAGAGCACUUGCCUAGCAUGUAUGAGGCACUGGGUUCAAUUCUCAGCACCACA
rnacentral:tRNA from 1 species